rnacentral:rRNA from 1 species
GAUGAACGCUGGUGGCGUGCCUAAUACAUGCAAGUCGAGCGAACAGAUGAGGAGCUUGCUCCUCUGACGUUAGCGGCGGACGGGUGAGUAACACGUGGAUAACCUACCUAUAAGACUGGGAUAACUUCGGGAAACCGGAGCUAAUACCGGAUAAUAUAUUGAACCGCAUGGUUCAAUAGUGAAAGACGGUUUUGCUGUCACUUAUAGAUGGAUCCGCGCCGCAUUAGCUAGUUGGCAAGGUAACGGCUUACCAAGGCAACGAUGCGUAGCCGACCUGAGAGGGUGAUCGGCCACACUGGAACUGAGACACGGUCCAGACUCCUACGGGAGGCAGCAGUAGGGAAUCUUCCGCAAUGGGCGAAAGCCUGACGGAGCAACGCCGCGUGAGUGAUGAAGGUCUUCGGAUCGUAAAACUCUGUUAUUAGGGAAGAACAAAUGUGUAAGUAACUAUGCACGUCUUGACGGUACCUAAUCAGAAAGCCACGGCUAACUACGUG